GUACACUCCAAGGUAAUGGUCCCCUAGUCCCUAUGGGUCCUGGUUGAAGGUAGUACACUCCAAGGUAAUAGUCCCCUAGUCCCUAUGGGUCCUGGUUGAAGGUAGUACACUCCAAGGUAAUGGUCCCCUAGUCCCUAUGGGUCCUGGUUGAAGGUAGUACACUCCAGGGUAAUGGUCCCCUAGUCCCUAUGGGUCCUGGUUGAAGGUAGUACACUCCAGGGUAAUGGUCCCCUAGUCUCUAUGGGUCCUGGUUGAAGGUAGUACACUCCAAGGUAAUGGUCCCCUAGUCUCUAUGGGUCCUGGUUGAAGGUAGUACACUCCAAGGUAAUAGUCCCCUAGUCCCUAUGGGUCCUGGUUGAAGGUAGUACACUCCAAGGUAAUAGUCCCCUAGUCUCUAUGGGUCCUGGUUGAAGGUAGGACACUCCAGGGUAAUGGUCCCCUAGUCCCUAUGGGUCCUGGUUGAAGGUAGUACACUCCAAGGUAAUGGUCCCCUAGUCCCUAUGGGUCCUGGUUGAAGGUAGUACACUCCAAGGUAAUAGUCCCCUAGUCCCUAUGGGUCCUGGUU
rnacentral:lncRNA from 1 species